rnacentral:lncRNA from 1 species
ACAAACAAUAGAAUUCCUUCUUUGUUGCCUGAUUCCAGCUGGUGGGAGGACUCCAUAAUUUUCUUGGAAAAACUAUCAAACAGUUGAUCAAUAAUCCCACUUCCAAAAUGUUGGGCAAAAAUUCCCUCCAAGCCAGCUCUAAGGUACAUUGCAUAUUCCUUUCCAUUGAUCGGGCCAACAAGUUUUGAUCUAGAGUUCACUAACUCCAUUCUCUCAAUGGUUAAACACUCAUUUCUUUCCACCAGCUCUGUCAUUUGCUCGGGAGAGGCCAGAUGAAUAGGCAAGUUGAAGGAAUCCACUUGAGCUUCACUAAUUAAUCCCUGCAUUCAACAUUGGCAAUUUUGGCAUCAUCUCUUGAAUUUGAUUCGGGCUUGUCUGUAAAACAACAUAAAACUACCAGACAAGCAAAAAUUCAACAAUUAUAAUUAUAGUUUGUUUUUUUCCCCUCUCUGCCCUAAUACUGGGCUUCAUGUAUGAGGUUCCAUGAGGGUAUAUUGGUCAUUUUACAUGAUUAGCCUAGCGUUUCCUACGACCCAACCUGAAUUGGGCCAUGGGAUGAGCAUAUGCCUAGGGUAAGUGUGCCAGGCUCCCUCAGCCCCAACAAAAAAUUUCCCUGUUUUAUUUCCAAAAUAUACUAAUAUUUCCCAAGUUCCACAUUAAUUUUCUAUGCGGAAUGUUACUUAGCUAUGAUCAGAGCCCUCUCAACUAUUAGAUGUUAAAUUCACUUUUCUAAUUCCAAAAUAGAAUAUCAUCCGCCUUACCUCCUUGGCCAUGUCCAUGAGGCAUGAUCCCAGAAGAUCGAACAUAAUACCAUAUGGGUUUUGAGAAGCAGGGAUCCCAUUUGGGAGAGCUAGAAUGAGAAACACUAUCAUCCCUCCAACCACAAGUUCCUUAGCUCUGGCACUCAGAAAGAUCUCCAUGUCAUGCUCAAAUUGAGCUGCAUAAGCAUGGCUUACUUCUUCUGGGCCACUUGUGUAGUGAAUCCUUCCCCUGUUCCAUGCAGGGGAGUUUUUGUCCAACAACUCUUCAGGCACCUUUGAGAGCCAGUGGAGUGCAUGAGAGGAAAACAUGAAAUGGAUAGAUGACUCCGGGAAUAACCGGCCAUGGAAAGAACCCGGGACGCCACAGGCAAAGUACCGCCUCUCAGUUGGGAGGGAUGCAAAUAGGGUAUUGAAAUCAUUACCCACAUGAUCAUUAAAGAAGACUUGAAAUUCGGGCAUCUCAGAUUUGAGACCUUGCACCAGGUACCUCCUUUCUACAGCUUCCACUAUAUGUUGCAUUGCUAUGAAGGUAUUUGGCCCAACUGAACAUCCCAAAUUUGCAAGACGAAACGGGUUUGAAGAGAAGCACUUUACAUCAAGCUUCUUAGCAAUUGCCUCUUCAAUCAUAGUUCUCGACACAUUCAUAUCUUGUCUCUACAACACAAUAGUCCACCAUUCGCUUUGUUAUUAAUGUCAGGGAUGAUAUUCCCUAAACCAAGCAAUUUUUAAUCACGUAAUAUAAUCCAGGGUGAGCAAAACGGAGAUCCAUGAAAUCUGUAAGAUAGAGAAAAUUUAUGAAGAGACUGCAACGGCUACAAAAGUAGUUAAAAUACCUGAAAAUGGGAGUUGUUGCGGUAGCUAUGAGGUCCAUCCCCUCCGUUCAUCGGAAAAGAUUGUUGCAUUGUGGCUGCGUCGUUGUUGCUUAUAACUCUCUGUGUCUGUGGAGAGCCUAGGUGAGCCGUGUGCUUUAUGCCUUUAUUUGAUGGACGCUCUAUAUAGACAUCUCAUAAACAAUGGCCUUCUGACACGUGUACCAAUUUCAUGCCUUUCCUUAUCCUUGUUGACUGGUAUAAAUUUUGUCGGGCAAGUAGUGACUUGACUGGAAAUUGAGACUUUUUUUAAUACGGUAAUUUAAAAAAGUUAUGUUUAAAUUUUUAUAGUAAAAGAAGUUUUUAUAAAUAUAUAGUAUUUUUUCCCCCCUAGAAGAUAGGAGAUAGGAGAGAGAGAGGGUGAACGGAUAAAUUUUUUUUUAAACCAAAAUCUUUUUUUCAAAAGACGAUUUAAAAAAAUUUGAAAUUUUUUUUUCAAGAGACGAGUUCCAUGAAAAUAUAUAUAUAUAUAUAUAUAUAUUUAAAAAAAUUCCCAAAAAAAAAAAAAAAAAACAAUUCCUCAAGGGAUGAAGAGACGAGUUCCAUGAAAAUAUAUAUAUAUAUAUAUAUAUAUAUAUAUAUAUAUAUAUAUAUAUAUAUAUUUAAAAAUUCCUAAAUUUAAAAAAAAAAAAAAAAAAAAAACAAUUCCUCAAGGAACUCGUCUCUUGAAAAGACAAGUUCCCAUGGAAAAAAAAUAAUUUUUAAAAAAUAUAUAUAUAUAUAUAUAUAUUUUUAAAAAAAAUUCCCAAAUUAAAAAAAAAAAUUCCUCAAGGAACUCUUCUUUUCAAGAGACGAGUUCCAUGGAAAAAAAAAAUUCCCAAAUUAUUAAAAAAAGAAAAAAAGAAAAACCAAUUCCUCAAGAGACGAGUUCCCAUUAAAAAAAUAUAUUUUUUUUAUUUAAAUUCCUAAAUUAAAAAAAAAAUUCCUCAAGGGACCUCGUCUCUUCAAUAGACGAGUUCCAUGAAAUAUAUAUCUAUAUUAAAAAAUUCCCAAAUUAUUAAAAAAAAAAAAAAAAACAAUUCCUCAAGGAAACUCGUCUCUUUAAGAGACGAGUUCCCUUGAGGAAUUGUUUUUUUUUUUUUUUUAAAUAUAAUUUGGGAAUUUUAAAAAAAAAAAAUAUAUAUAUAUAUAUAUAUAUAUAUAUAUAUAUAUAUUUUUUUUUUUUUAAGAAACGAGUCCUCUUGAGGAAUUUUUUUUUUUUUUUUUUAAUAAUUUGGGAAUUUAAAAAAAAAAAUUCAUGGGAACUCGUCUCUUCAAGAGACGAGUUCCCUUGAGGAAUUUUUUUUUAAUUUUUAAUUUUUUUAUAAUUUGGGAAUUUUUUUAAAAAAAUAUAUUUUUUUUCAUGGGAACUCGUCUCUUGAGGAAUUGUUUUUUUUUUUUUUUUUUUAAAUUUGGGAAUUAUUUAAAAAAAAUGUUUUUUUUUUCAUGAGAACUCGUCUCUUGAAGAGACGAGUUCCCUUGAGGAUUUUUUUUUUUUUUUUAUAUAAUUUGGGAAUUUUGUUAAAAAAAAAAUAUAUUUUUUUAAUGGGAACUCGUCUUUUCAAGAGACGAGUUCCCUUGAGGAAUUUUUUAUUUUUUUAUUUUUUUAAUAAUUUGAGGAUUUUUUUUUUUUAAUUUGAAAAUUUUUUUUCAUGGGAACUCGUCUCUUAAAGAGACAAUUUCCCUUUUGAAUUUUUUUUUAAAAUCGUCUUUUGAAAAGACGAUUUCGUCUUUUGAAAUUUGAAAAGAUGAUUUUGGUUUAAAAAAAAAAUUAUUCGUUCACCCUCUCUCCUCUCUCAUUUCUCCUAAGUGGCAAAAACUACCAUAUAUUUAUAAUAACUUCUUCUACUACAAUAAUUUAAGCAUAACUUUUUUAAAUUACCGCACUAUUGAGAAAAGUCCCUAAAAAUUGUGAUAUGUGAUAAUAUCCCAGCAUUCAAAAGCACAUGGAACAACUUAUUUUAUCUUUAAUAAAAACCAUCUCUUUAUUUAAAAUAACAUCUUUAAUAAAAUUGAUAUUUAUAAAAUAUUAGGACUGCUUGCUUUUUUUUUUUUUAAUUGGGUCUACAUCUUAAUUAUUAUUAUUAUUUUUUCUUUUCUUUCUUUUUCUUUUUCCCCUCUUUUUCCCUUCCUACUCCACCCACUCCCCCAUCCCACCCCACCCCACCACCACCCACCUUCAUUUCCAGCCCCUUUUUCCACUUCCUCGGUUUUUUUUCCUCUCUCUUUCCCCAUCCCAUUCCACCACCACUUACUUUCAUUUCCAGCCUCCUUUUCCACUUCCUCGGUUUUUUUUCCUUUCUCUCUCUCUCAACCAUGGAAAAUCAUCAUCUCCAUCCUAGGGUUACAGAAUAGAUAAGUUUUUUUUUCUCUUUUUUUCUUUAAUUUCUAUCGUAAUUGUUUUUUGGAUUUGGACUUGAUUGCAUGCAUAUUAAAUUGAGCUCGAUUUUUGUUGUGGAAUUGGUUUGAGCAUUAAAUUGGAUUUGGAUUAUGAGAUAUUAAAUUGAGGUUUAAUUGAAUUUAUCUUAAUUUGUUACAUUUGAUCUUGAUUAAAUGUGCUUGAAUAUUAGUUAUUAAUUUGUAUAUGGAAUAUUUAUGUUGGACUGUAUUUACUAAUUUGAAUUUAUUCUUAUUCAUAAAAUUUAUUGGACUCGUUUAAAAUGAUUGCUAAAAUAAGUGAUGAUUCAACUUUUUUAAAAAAAAUUAAUUUUUCAUCAAUAAAAGCGAGUUUCUCUAUUCAAAUAAGGACAUAUGUGAAAAAUACGGGUACACAUAUUAAUAGCAUUUUACUUAAAAUGAAUAUUGAAUAAAAAUCGUUAAAUCCAUUAAUAAAUUCAAUACAAAGUGUUGUUUGAUUUGAGAUUCAUUUAUUAAGUAAGAAAUUUUAUUAAAAUAUAAUUAUGCGUAGAAAAGAAUAUUAGACUCAUUGCAAACCAAUUGUUAUUCAUAGAUUUUCUAGUAUUAAUGAUUUCACUAUUUAAGUUUUAAAUUAUUUUUAAAAAUCAUUAAACUCAUUAAUGAAUUUAAUGCACUAAGUCUUAAUUAAUUUGGAAUUCAUUUAUUAGUGAAAAAAAACAUGGUUCUAUGUAGAAGAGAAAUAAUAGUAGUUAUAGUAUUUAUUAUAUUAAUAUUUGACUUUUAAGUUAUUUUUAAAAUUUACUAAACUCGGUCCAAUGCAUUAAAUUUUGCUUGAUUUGAAGUUUAUUAGUCUAGUGAAAAUUUUUGUAAAAGUAUGAUAUAUGUUAUGAAGAAACUAGUCAAGUCAUUCAAAAUAAAUUUUGGUCUAUGAACUUUCUAAUGUUAUAAAGUUUUAUAAUUUUCUAGUACUAAUUAGAUCAGUUUUUUAUUUUCAAAUUAUUUUUAAAAAUUAAUAAAUUGUAUAUAUCAAAUUAAUGAAUUUUAUAUAUCAAAUAUAGUUUGAUUUGAAAUUUAUUUGUUAAAUGAAAGGUUUUAUAUAAGUUAAAAGAAAUUCGAAAAACAUGAAUAAUUUAAAAGAAAUUAUAUUUCAUGGAGAGAGAAAAAGAAUGAUAUCAUUAUUCAAUUUUAUUUGUUUUCUAUAUUUUUUUUUAUUAUUUCUCUGUAUUUUCCUUUUGGUUUUAAUAAUGAUUACUUAUUUUCUUAAAAAUGUUCUUUAUUUCAUUUUUUUUAAAGAUCUAAAGCAAAAAACAAAAACAAAUAGUGUUAUAAAUUUUAAAAAUAAUAUUCUAUUUUUAAAAAUAGAAAAUUAUUUUUAAUCAUAUGGUAAAAUAGGCUCUUAAGUUUUUAAAGUUAUCUUUUGAAAAACCAAUUUUCAUAUAAAUUAUUUAUGUUUCAAUACUAUUAAUUUUUUUGUUUCAAAAAUCAGUUUAUCUUUGGUAAAUCAUAUCUUGAUAAAAAUAAAUUAAUUAAAUAAUUUAGAAAUCUACAACUCAAAAAAUAAAGGUUAAUAUUUAAGAAAGUUGGUUUUUGAGAUAACACUUUCAAUGAAAAUCAAGUAUUCAUAAAAAAUAAAAAAUUAAAACUUUAAAAAGCUUAUUUUUUUUACUACAAACCUUUUUUUUGUAUCACAGAAUAAUUCUAAUAAAAGUUUUGAUUUGAUCCAUUGUGAUAUAUGGGGUCCUUUUGGCACUACUUCUUAUUCUGGUUUUCGAUAUUUUUUUAACUAUAGUCGAUGACUUCACAAGGUGUACUUGGGUAUACAUGAUUAAAGCUAAAUCAGAAGUGUCAUCUUUAAUCAAAACUUUCUGUAAAAUGGUAGCAAACCAAUUUUCUUCUUCUGUUAAAGCUAUAAGGUAUGAUAAUGGACCAAAAUUCUUACUCACAAAAUUCUAUCAUAAAUAUGGUAUUUUGCAUCAGAGAAGUUGUGUCGAAACUCCUAAAAAAAAUGGUGUUGUGGAGAGAAAACAUCAACAUCUACUAAGCACUCCUAGAGCCUUAAUGUUUCAAGAAAAUCUACCAUUAAUUUUUUGGAGUGACUGUGUGCUUACUGCUGCCCACAUAAUCAAUAGAAUUCCCACUCCUCUACUUCAAAAUAAAACUCUUUUUGAAAUGCUUUUUAACAAAACACCUAACCUUUCUCAUUUAAGAGUUUUUGGCUGUCUUUGUUUUGCAUCCACUUUAACUAGUCACAGACAAAAAUUUGAUUCACGAGCCACAAAGUGCAUCUUCCUAGGAUAUCCUUCUGAUAUUAAGGGUUAUAAACUCAUGGAUCUAAACAACAAUAAGAUCCUUGUUUCUCGGAAUGUCAUAUUCCAUGAAACAAUUUUUCCUUUCCAAGUGUUGCCCCAACAUCUUGAAACUCAUUCCUUUAUGUUUCCUCUUUCACAAUCAUUUUCAAAUUCACCUUCUACCACCUCCUUCUUCAAUUCCUAUCACAAUGUGUGACCUGCAUCACCACCUAAUAAUUCUCCUUCUCUCUCUGAACCUCCUGCCCUUCUUGAAUCCGACUCACCUACAUGUCCCUCUCCAUCCCAUCUGGAUUCAACUGACCCUGAAGUCCUAUAGCUCAUAAAAUCAACCAGAAUUAAACAAAAACCUUCAUAUCUGCAGGACUAUUAUUGUGGUAAUGUCUCUUCUUCUCAAAAUGCAACUCAGGCAUCUACUUCAACUAACUGUUCUCCCAUUAAAGGUAAUUUCUAUUCUCUUCACCCUUUUCUUUCUGCUAAUAGACUGUCUACAUCCCAUAAAGCUUUUCUCACCUUUGUCACAAACUCUCUAGAACCCAAAUCAUACACCCAAGCUUCUCGCCUCCUUGAAUGGCAAGCUGCCAUGCAACAUGAACUUACUGCUUUGGAGUUAAAUAAAACUUAGGAACUUGUUACUCUUCCUAAAAAUAAAAGGACUAUUGGUUGUAAAUGGGUAUUCAAAGUGAAAUAUAAAGCUAAUGGAACUAUAGAAAGACAUAAAGCUAGAUUGGUGGCAAAAGGGUAUACUCAGCAAGAAUGCCUCGAUUUAUUUGAUACUUUCUCUCAUGUGGCCAAGAUUACAUCCAUUCGCUUACUACUUGCUGUGGCUACCGUCAAACAGUGGCAUCUUCAUCAACUAAAUGUCAAUAAUGCAUUUUUGCAUGGUGAUUUACAUGAAGAGGUAUACAUGGAAUUGCCUCCUGGGUUGGCUGUCCAAGGUGAACAGAAAGUUUGUCGUCUUUUAAAGAGCCUCUAUGGCUUGAAGCAAGCUUCCAGGCAAUGGUAUGCCAAACUAUCUCAGGCCCUUCUUUCCUAUGGAUUUGUUCAAGGUAAUUCUGAUUGUUCUCUAUUCAUUAAGAAAUCUGAAAGUUCUUUUAUGGCCUUAUUAGUCUAUGUGGAUGAUGUGCUAUUGGCAAGUGAUAGCAUUCUGGAAAUUGAAAGGUGAAGACCUUUUUAGAUGCCAAGUUCACUAUUAAAGACUUAGGCCCACUGAAAUACUUUCUUGGCUUGGAAGUUGCAAGGUCCAAGACUAGUAUCUUCUUAUGCCAACGAAACUAUAUACUUGACAUACUUGAAGACACUGGUUUAACUAGAUCCAAACCUAUUGCCUUCCCUAUGGAAUCUACCCUCAAGUUAUCAGCAAAUGAUACCAAUUUCUAUGAAGAUCCAUCAGGUUACCGAAGACUCAUUGGCAGAUUAUUUUACUUAACUCUCACUAAGCCCGACUUAGCCUAUUCUGUAAAAGUACUCAGCCAAUUUUUAGCAAAACCUGCUGUUAGUCACCAUCAAGCAGGCAUUCGAGUACUGAGGUAUCUAAAGGCCAUACUAGGGCAAGGUCUCUUUUUUCUUUCUUUCUCAGAUUUUCAAUUAAAGGGUUUUUCCUAUAGUGAUUGGGCAGGCUAUGUCAAUACUAGAAGGAGUGUCACUGGUUUUGCAAUUUUUCUUGGCAACUCAUUGAUUUCAUGGAAAUCAAAGAAACAAGUUACAGUUAGUUGAUCCUCUGCAGAGGUAGAGUACCAAGCCCUUGCAACUGCCACCUGUGAAAUUCAAUGGCUUUUCAAUGCCUUGCAAGACCUGGAUAUCAAACAUUCACAGUCAGUUUUGCUAUAUACUGACAGUAAAUCAGUAAUGCCCAUCGCCACAAAUCCAGUUCAGCAUGAGAGAACAAAACAUAUCUAGAUUGAUUGCCAUCUUAUUCGCGAAAAAUUGCAGCAGCAUGUUAUAAAGCUCUUCCAUAUUCCAUUGCGAUUAUAGCUCGCAAAUAUCUUUACAAAGCCUCUCGAUUCUCUACCUUUUCAUCAUACUCUUCGCAAGAUGAACAUCAUUAACAUCCAUGUUCAUCUUGAGGGGGGGUGUUGGAGUGUUACAUCUCAUAUUGAAAGCAUGGAAUUAAAAAGGAAAGAAGACUUAAAAUAGAAAGCAAGUUAGAUGAGAAGAGUUAGUUAGAAGAGUUGUUAUUUCAGUUUAUUCUUUACUUUGUUAUUGUGUCAUUGAUGUAUUAUAAAUAGGACUCAAGUCUGAUGUAGUUUUUAAAUUUUUUCAGUUUUUGCAAUUCAUUUUCCUUUGCGUCCUCUGUUUCUUAGUGUUUUUCAUCAGUUUCAAAUUCUUCUGAUUCUCAACAACAAUUAUUGUAAAUAUAUAGAGUUGAUACCCAAAUCUGGGUCAUUAUUUAUGAUCCACUGGAUCUUCACGACAAUAUAUAUUGAUAUCCUGAAACUAGUCUUAGAGAAGGGACUCAGAAAACUAGCAGGAAAAGUAGUUUAUGAUCAUCUUCAAACAGUAUCAUUUACGCCUCAGAACAACAAACAAUAGAUUUCCUUCUUUGUUGCCUGAUUCCAGCUUGUGGGAGGACUCCAUAAUUUUCUUGGAAAGCCUAUCAAACAGUUGAUCAAUAAUCCCACUUCCAAAAUGUUGGGCAAAAAUUCCCUCCAAGCCAGCUCUAAGGUACAUUGCACAUUCCUUUCCAUUGAUCGGGCCAACAAGUUUUGAUCUAGAGUUCACUAACUCCAUUCUCUCAAUGGUUAAACACUCAUUUCUUUCCACCAGCUCUGUCAUUUGCUCGGGAGAGGCUAGAUGAAUAGGCAAGUUGAAG